rnacentral:rRNA from 1 species
AGACCGGUUUACUGGUCGUGCUUUUGUACGCACUGGUAUUAUUGGUUUCUCCUUUCUGACGAACUAUAAUGCCAUUAAUUUGGUGUUUUAGGGAAUCAGGACUGUUACUUUGAAAAAAUUAGAGUGUUUAAAGCAGGCUCACGCUUGAAUACAUUAGCAUGGAAUAACGGAAUAGGACGUUUAAUUCUAUUCUGUUGGUUUCUAGGAUUGACGUA